GAUCCUUCGGGGGGCAGCAGUGGGGAAUAUUGGACAAUGGGGGAAACCCUUAUCCAGCGACGCCGCGUGAGGGAAGAAGGUUUUCGGAUUGUAAACCUCUGUCAGUGGGGACGAUAAUGACGGUACCCACGGAGGAAGCCACGGCUAACUACGUGCCAGCAGCCGCGGUAAUACGUAGGUGGCAAGCGUUGUCCGGAUUCACUGGGCGUAAAGGGAGCGCAGGCGGCAUGGCAAGUCUGAUGUGAAAACCCGGGGCCCAACCCCGGGAGUGCAUUGGAAACUGCCAGGCUGGAGUGUCGGAGGGG
rnacentral:rRNA from 1 species